UACGUAGGUGGCAAGCGUUAUCCGGAAUUAUUGGGCGUAAAGCGCGCGCAGGUGGUUUCUUAAGUCUGAUGUGAAAGCCCACGGCUCAACCGUGGAGGGUCAUUGGAAACUGGGAGACUUGAGUGCAGAAGAGGAAAGUGGAAUUCCAUGUGUAGCGGUGAAAUGCGUAGAGAUAUGGAGGAACACCAGUGGCGAAGGCGGCCUGCUGGGCUAUGGCUGACACUGAGGCGCGACAGCGUGGGGAGCAAACAGG
rnacentral:rRNA from 1 species